rnacentral:rRNA from 1 species
UAGGAUGUCCUGAUCCAACAUCGAGGUCGUAAACCCCCUCGUCGAUAGGGACUCUGGGAGAGGAUUGCGCUGUUAUCCCUAGGGUAACUCGGUCCGUUGAUCGGCGUUCGCCGGAUCAUUUUUGGUCAGAAAUUCUGGUACUUAGAGUUGUGGCUCUUGGUUGUGGGGGCAGUGCCCCCAGUCCACAUGGGGGCUUUGUUUUCCCCCGCGGUCGCCCCAACCAAAGACAUAGGGGCUAGGGGUCACUGUGUUUUUACCUGUUAAUUUAAGGUUACUUGACGUGAUCUGCCUGGUGUCUAAAGCUCCAUAGGGUCUUCUCGACUUAUGUGUUUAUGUCCGCUUCUGCACGGG